rnacentral:miRNA from 3 species
CAUGGGUAUGAUACGACCUCA